rnacentral:rRNA from 1 species
GACGAACGCUGGCGGCGUGCUUAACACAUGCAAGUCGAACGGAAAGGCCCUGCUUUUGCGGGGUUCUCGAGUGCCGAACGGGUGAGUAACACGUGAGUAACCUGCCCUUGACUUUGGGAUAACUUCAGGAAACUGCGGCUAAUACCGGAGAGGAGCUCCUGCUGCAUGGUGUGGGUUGGAAAGUUUCGGCGGUUGUGGAUGGACUCGCGGCUUAUCAGCUUGUUGGUGGGGUAGUGGCUUACCAAGGCUUUGACGGGUAGCCGGCCUGAGAGGGUGACCGGCCACAUUGGGACUGAGAUACGGCCCAGACUGCUACGGGAGGCAGCAGUGGGGAAUAUUGCACAAUAGGCGGAAGCCUGAUGCAGCAACGCCGCGUGCGGGAUGACGGCCUUCGGGUUGUAAACCGCUUUCGACUGUGACGAAGAGUGAGUGACGGUAAUGGGUAAAGAAGCACCGGCUAACUACGUG